ensembl:snRNA U2 U2 spliceosomal RNA
AUCGCUUCUCUGCCUUUUGGCUAAGAUUAAGUGUAGUAUCUGUUCUUAUCAGUUUAAUAUCUGAUACGUCCUCUAUAUGAGGACUACAUAUUAAGUUGAUUUUUAGAACAGGGAGACGGAAGAGGGGCUUGCUCCGGCUGCUCCACACAUUGACCUGGUAUUUACCUCCCGGAAUGGUGCACCUCCA